rnacentral:rRNA from 1 species
AGCGAACGCUGGCGGCAGGCCUAACACAUGCAAGUCGAACGAACCUUUCGGGGUUAGUGGCGGACGGGUGAGUAACACGUGGGAACGUGCCUUUAGGUUCGGAAUAACUCAGGGAAACUUGUGCUAAUACCGAAUGUGCCCUUCGGGGGAAAGAUUUAUCGCCUUUAGAGCGGCCCGCGUCUGAUUAGCUAGUUGGUUGAGGUAAUGGCUCACCAAGGCGACGAUCAGUAGCUGGUCUGAGAGGAUGAUCAGCCACAUUGGGACUGAGACACGGCCCAAACUCCUACGGGAGGCAGCAGUGGGGAAUCUUAGACAAUGGGGGAAACCCUGAUCUAGCCAUGCCGCGUGAGCGAUGAAGGCCUUAGGGUUGUAAAGCUCUUUCAGCUGGGAAGAUAAUGACGGUACCAGCAGAAGAAGCCCCGGCUAACUCCGUG